GGGUUGUGAGGUUAAGCGACUAAGCGUACACGGUGGAUGCCCUGGCAGUCAGAGGCGAUGAAGGACGUGCUAAUCUGCGAUAAGCGCCGGUAAGGUGAUAUGAACCGUUAUAACCGGCGAUUUCCGAAUGGGGAAACCCAGUGUGUUUCGACACACUAUCAUUACGUGAAUACAUAGCGUAAUGAAGCGAACCGGGGGAACUGAAACAUCUAAGUACCCCGAGGAAAAGAAAUCAACCGAGAUUCCCCCAGUAGCGGCGAGCGAACGGGGAGGAGCCCAGAGCCUGAAUCAGCAUGUGUGUUAGUGGAAGCGUCUGGAAAGGCGCGCGAUACAGGGUGACAGCCCCGUACACAAAAGCGCAUGUGCUGUGAGCUCGAUGAGUAGGGCGGGACACGUGGUAUCCUGUCUGAAUAUGGGGGGACCAUCCUCCAAGGCUAAAUACUCCUGACUGACCGAUAGUGAACCAGUACCGUGAGGGAAAGGCGAAAAGAACCCCGGCGAGGGGAGUGAAAAAGAACCUGAAACCGUGUACGUACAAGCAGUGGGAGCACAGGUUUACCUGUGUGACUGCGUACCUUUUGUAUAAUGGGUCAGCGACUUAUAUUCUGUAGCAAGGUUAACCGAAUAGGGGAGCCGGAGGGAAACCGAGUCUUAACCGGGCGUUAAGUUGCAGGGUAUAGACCCGAAACCCGGUGAUCUAGCCAUGGGCAGGUUGAAGGUUGGGUAACACUAACUGGAGGACCGAACCGACUAAUGUUGAAAAAUUAGCGGAUGACCUGUGGCUGGGGGUGAAAGGCCAAUCAAACCGGGAGAUAGCUGGUUCUCCCCGAAAGCUAUUUAGGUAGCGCCUCGUGAAUUCAUCUCCGGGGGUAGAGCACUGUUUCGGCUAGGGGGCCAUCCCGGCUUACCAACCCGAUGCAAACUGCGAAUACCGGAGAAUGUUAUCACGGGAGACACACGGCGGGUGCUAACGUCCGUCGUGAAGAGGGAAACAACCCAGACCGCCAGCUAAGGUCCCAAAGUCAUGGUUAAGUGGGAAACGAUGUGGGAAGGCCCAGACAGCCAGGAUGUUGGCUUAGAAGCAGCCAUCAUUUAAAGAAAGCGUAAUAGCUCACUGGUCGAGUCGGCCUGCGCGGAAGAUGUAACGGGGCUAAACCAUGCACCGAAGCUGCGGCAGCGACACUGUGUGUUGUUGGGUAGGGGAGCGUUCUGUAAGCCUGUGAAGGUGGCCUGUGAGGGUUGCUGGAGGUAUCAGAAGUGCGAAUGCUGACAUAAGUAACGAUAAAGCGGGUGAAAAGCCCGCUCGCCGGAAGACCAAGGGUUCCUGUCCAACGUUAAUCGGGGCAGGGUGAGUCGACCCCUAAGGCGAGGCCGAAAGGCGUAGUCGAUGGGAAACGGGUUAAUAUUCCCGUACUUGGUGUUACUGCGAAGGGGGGACGGAGAAGGCUAUGUUGGCCGGGCGACGGUUGUCCCGGUUUAAGCGUGUAGGUGUGUGUUCCAGGUAAAUCCGGUUCACUUUAACACUGAGGCGUGACGACGAGGCACUACGGUGCUGAAGCAACAAAUGCCCUGCUUCCAGGAAAAGCCUCUAAGCAUCAGGUAACAUCAAAUCGUACCCCAAACCGACACAGGUGGUCAGGUAGAGAAUACCAAGGCGCUUGAGAGAACUCGGGUGAAGGAACUAGGCAAAAUGGUGCCGUAACUUCGGGAGAAGGCACGCUGACACGUAGGUGAAGUGAUUUACUCAUGGAGCUGAAGUCAGUCGAAGAUACCAGCUGGCUGCAACUGUUUAUUAAAAACACAGCACUGUGCAAACACGAAAGUGGACGUAUACGGUGUGACGCCUGCCCGGUGCCGGAAGGUUAAUUGAUGGGGUCAGCGCAAGCGAAGCUCCUGAUCGAAGCCCCGGUAAACGGCGGCCGUAACUAUAACGGUCCUAAGGUAGCGAAAUUCCUUGUCGGGUAAGUUCCGACCUGCACGAAUGGCGUAAUGAUGGCCAGGCUGUCUCCACCCGAGACUCAGUGAAAUUGAACUCGCUGUGAAGAUGCAGUGUACCCGCGGCAAGACGGAAAGACCCCGUGAACCUUUACUAUAGCUUGACACUGAACAUUGAGCCUUGAUGUGUAGGAUAGGUGGGAGGCUUUGAAGUGUGGACGCCAGUCUGCAUGGAGCCGACCUUGAAAUACCACCCUUUAAUGUUUGAUGUUCUAACGUGGACCCGUUACCCGGGUUGCGGACAGUGUCUGGUGGGUAGUUUGACUGGGGCGGUCUCCUCCUAAAGAGUAACGGAGGAGCACGAAGGUUGGCUAAUCCUGGUCGGACAUCAGGAGGUUAGUGCAAUGGCAUAAGCCAGCUUGACUGCGAGCGUGACGGCGCGAGCAGGUGCGAAAGCAGGUCAUAGUGAUCCGGUGGUUCUGAAUGGAAGGGCCAUCGCUCAACGGAUAAAAGGUACUCCGGGGAUAACAGGCUGAUACCGCCCAAGAGUUCAUAUCGACGGCGGUGUUUGGCACCUCGAUGUCGGCUCAUCACAUCCUGGGGCUGAAGUAGGUCCCAAGGGUAUGGCUGUUCGCCAUUUAAAGUGGUACGCGAGCUGGGUUUAGAACGUCGUGAGACAGUUCGGUCCCUAUCUGCCGUGGGCGCUGGAGAAUUGAGGGGGGCUGCUCCUAGUACGAGAGGACCGGAGUGGACGCAUCACUGGUGUUCGGGUUGUCAUGCCAAUGGCACUGCCCGGUAGCUAAAUGCGGAAGAGAUAAGUGCUGAAAGCAUCUAAGCACGAAACUUGCCCCGAGAUGAGUUCUCCCUGAGACUUUAAGUCUCCUGAAGGAACGUUGAAGACGACGACGUUGAUAGGCCGGGUGUGUAAGCGCAGCGAUGCGUUGAGCUAACCGGUACUAAUGAACCGUGAGGCUUAACCUUACAACGCCGAAG
rnacentral:rRNA from 4 species